UCAGAAGGCAUAAGCAUAAAAAGAAAAAGAAGAAGAGGGUGUUGGAGAGGAAGUAAAGGGAUUGUACCAAUCUUUUUCAGGUUGCUGUGAUAAACCAACUUGAACUUUAAACAAGUUUCAGUGACAUUUGAAAGACAUAAGAUUGUGGAAAUACUUGUGAAGUUGUUUGAAAUCUGAGUGCCUAUAUUUGUGUUGUGUACAUAUUUUCAUUUCAGGUUAUUUUAUAUUGAAGACAGUCAGAGACAGACCCCAUAUUUGCCAGAAAAAGGAAAAAAGAAAGACAGACAAAAAGUGAAUCCUCCUCCUCUGUAAAGUGGAUACAGUGAGCUGAAUUUCAAUAACUGAAGGGGCUGAGGAUUCUUGAGUUGAUUGUGCAGUUUCCAAGCAAGAGAUAUUUUCUACCAGAUAAAAAUAAUGAUUAAGUGUUUUUCAGGUUUCUCUUUCAGCUUUUCUAUUUCCAAAUGGGAAGUGUCUGUGUAGACAGUUGUAGACAUUUUCACUUGGUUGUAGAAAUACAGUGAUAGUUAUCCCAGAAGCGAUUUGAGACUCGAGUGGACUGUGAAUGGAUAUUUGAAAGGAAACUUAAAAUUUCAAAUAAGUUUAUAUCGAGAGUGGCAGAUGAGAGAGUGUUGAAACUAGAAGAGUUUAUUUCAGUGGUGAAACUGAUAGGAUGCUAAAGUUGGUUACAGUGUACCUUCCAAGGUUUUACAAAGGAGCGGUGAAAACUGUGAGUGCGGAGGUUUUAAAAUGCUGUGAAGGAAAUAUGAAGUGACGGAUAAAAUGGAUACCAAGGAACCAUCUUGUAUGGCUGCAGUAAAUCAUCAAGAAGAUUAGAAUUGCAUCAUUUUAUGACGUAUACUUGAUUAAAAAGUUACAGGUUUGACAGUCAUGUACACAAAAUGAAUUUUGAAGUGUGUUGUGUAGAAUAGUGGAACCUUUAUAAAGACAUUUUAAAACCUUGUGAGAGAAAUGCCUAUAAUAUUUCAGCAUUUUGUUACAUUCACAAAUACAUAUAUUUAAUGUGCAAGUUUAGUAUACAAACUGCAGUGAUAAAAAGGUGCGAUAUAAAAAUCUCACCGCGCAUUCGGGUUAAUGGUUCCCUGCAUUUCCGAGGCUGGAUGUGAAUGUAUAGUGGACACUGAUGGAAAAGAAAAGAGUGAAGCGUGUGGCGUUGAUAUAAGAAUUUCUUUUACGAGAAUGGAUGAGUGUAAUGUUAUUGGAAGUGUUGGACACUGAAAAGCAAUGGUGUUCUGUGAACCAAAG